AGUGAACGCUGGCGGUAGGCCUAACACAUGCAAGUCGAACGGCAGCACAGGAGAGCUUGCUCUCUGGGUGGCGAGUGGCGGACGGGUGAGGAAUACAUCGGAAUCUACUCUGUCGUGGGGGAUAACGUAGGGGAACUUACGCUAAUACCGCAUACGACCUACGGGUGAAAGCAGGGGAUCUUCGGACCUUGCGCGAUUGAAUGAGCCGAUGUCGGAUUAGCUAGUUGGCGGGGUAAAGGCCCACCAAGGCGACGAUCCGUAGCUGGUCUGAGAGGAUGAUCGACCACGCUGGAACUGAGACACGGGCGAGACUCCUACGGGAGGCAGCAGUGGGGAAUAUUGGACAAUGGGCGCAAGCCUGAUCCAGCCAUACCGCGUGGGUGAAGAAGGCCUUCGGGUUGUAAAGCCCUUUUGUUGGGAAAGAAAUCCAGCUGGCUAAUACCCGGUUGGGAUGACGGUACCCAAAGAAUAAGCACCGGCUAACUUCGUGCCAGCAGCCGCGGUAA
rnacentral:rRNA from 1 species